AGGACGAACGCUGGCGGCGUGCUUAACACAUGCAAGUCGAGCGGUAAGGCCCUUUCGGGGGUACACGAGCGGCGAACGGGUGAGUAACACGUGAGUAAUCUGCCCUCCACUUGGGGAUAAGCUUCGGAAACGGGGUCUAAUACCUGAUACGACAACUUCCUGCAUGGGAUGGUUGUGGAAAGUUUUUUCGGUGGGGGAUGUGCUCGCGGCCUAUCAGCUUGUUGGUGGGUAAUGGCCUACAAGACUUCGACGGGUAGCCGGCCUGAGAGGGUGACCGGCCACACUGGGACUGAGACACGGCCCAGACUCCUACGGGAGGCAGCAGUGGGGAAUAUUGGACAAUGGGCGGAAGCCUGAUCCAGCAACGCCGCGUGAGGGAUGGACGGCUUCGGUUGUAAACCUCUUCAGUACGACGAAGCGCCCGUGGUGGUGGUGACGGUAGGUACAGAAGAGCACCGGCAGCUACGCACCAGCACGCCGC
rnacentral:rRNA from 1 species